rnacentral:rRNA from 1 species
UACGUAGGGUGCGAGCGUUAAUCGGAAUUACUGGGCGUAAAGCGUGCGCAGGCGGUUUUGCAAGCCGGAUGUGAAAUCCCCGGGCUCAACCUGGGAAUGGCAUUCGGGACUGCAAGGCUGGAGUGCGGCAGAGGAGACUGGAAUUCCUGGUGUAGCAGUGAAAUGCGUAGAGAUCGGGAGGAACACCAGCGGCGAAAGCGGCGACCUGGACAGGUACUGACACUCAACUACGAAAGCGUGGGGAGCAAACAGG